rnacentral:rRNA from 1 species
GACGAACGCUGGCGGCGUGCCUAAUACAUGCAAGUCGUGCGGACCUUUUAAAAGCUUGCUUUUAAAAGGUUAGCGGCGGACGGGUGAGUAACACGUGGGCAACCUGCCUGUAAGACUGGGAUAACGCCCGGAAACCGGGGCUAAUACCAGAUCGUUUUUUCCUCCGCAUGGAGGAAAAAGGAAAGGCGGCUUCGGCUGCCACUUACAGAUGGGCCCGCGGCGCAUUAGCUAGUUGGCGGGGUAACGGCCCACCAAGGCAACGAUGCGUAGCCGACCUGAGAGGGUGAUCGGCCACAUUGGGACUGAGACACGGCCCAAACUCCUACGGGAGGCAGCAGUAGGGAAUCUUCCGCAAUGGACGAAAGUCUGACGGAGCAACGCCGCGUGAGUGAAGAAGGCCGUCGGGUCGUAAAACUCUGUUGCCGGGGAAGAACAAGUGCCGUUCGAACAGGGCGGCGCCUUGACGGUACCCGGCCAGAAAGCCACGGCUAACUACGUG